rnacentral:rRNA from 1 species
GGGAUGAACGCUGGCGGCGUGCUUAACACAUGCAAGUCGAACGGAGGAGCGAUUUCGGUUGCUCUUCAGUGGCGCACGGGUGAGUAACACGUAGCUGACCUGCCCUUGAGAGUGGGAUAACGGGUCGAAAGACCUGCUAAUACCGCAUAAGCUCCCGCGUUUUAGAGGUGUGGGAGAAAAGGCGUGCAAACGCCGCUUGAGGAGGGGGCUGCGGACCAUCAGCUAGUUGGUGGGGUAACGGCCUACCAAGGCGACGACGGGUAGGGGGCCUGAGAGGGUGGUCCCCCACACUGGGACUGAGACACGGCCCAGACUCCUACGGGAGGCAGCAGUGAGGAAUAUUGCGCAAUGGGCGAAAGCCUGACGCAGCGACGCCGCGUGGGUGAGGAAGGCCUUCGGGUCGUAAAGCCCUUUUCUGCGUGACGAGAGAGGACGGUAGCGCAGGAACAAGUCUCGGCUAACUACGUGCCAGCAGCCGC